rnacentral:tRNA from 26 species
GCGGGAGUAGUUCAGUGGCAGAACGUCAGCUUCCCAAGCUGAAUGUCGCCGGUUCGAUCCCGGUCUCCCGCUCCA